rnacentral:misc_RNA from 1 species
CCCAUCCUACGCAUAUCAUAAUUAUGCAUAAUGGCGCAACCAAAAUCUUGUAACUCCUUGAAUCAGGGUGCCCAGUGUAAUUCUUUAUUUACCGUGUUGAAAGGCUACAAAUAUCGAGAUUUUGGAUAAAAAUACGCUGAAUCAGUGAAUUAAUAUGACAAGGAGGCGGGACCAAGAAAAUAGUCCCCUGAUUUGGGUUGUUCCGGCAACCAAAUUCAAUUAAUGCAGUAAAAUAUGAAUUCUCCACUAUACAUCGGCGGUGUAGGCAACGACACGAGCACAGACAACGAGUUGUCGCGGCAAUGGCUCGUCCACACGGCCCUGGACGCGUUAGAAGAGAGACUCGCCACUACCAACACAGGAAACGCUGGCACAAAUACGAACACUGCCCGUACUGAUCUCAGAGAUCUAUAUCUUGGCUUGUUAUACUCUACUGAUACGCAUAAAUAUAUGGGUACGUAACAAACACGCGAAUCAAACUUGUGCUGGUGACAAGUUCGACCUCACCAAGCGGCAGUAACAUCCGGGAUGCUGAAGUGCGGACUGCACUGCGUAGACUACACGCCUUGUACGCCGACGCUAUAUGCAAUCCAUUUCAUCUGCCUGGUGAUCAAAUUACUUCGCCGAAAUUUGAUAAGCAGGUCAAAAACAUAAUGAUGAACAAUGUUUAAUCAAUACUACGAACUGCGAUUGCGGUCCUUUCUUCAUUUAAUUUCUGUGUUUAGUUUGUGUUAUACUUGAAAUUAUUUUAUUUAAGUUUAUAAUAUUAUAAGGCUAUAAUUAUGUUAUUCCGUAUUUUAGUAUUACCGAGAGUGUAACUUUACAAAUAAAUAACUAAUUGGUUAUUGAGUUAAUAAAGUGUGUAGCUACAUAAAGUUUAAA